rnacentral:rRNA from 1 species
UGCAAGUCGAACGGAUCCUUCGGGAUCAGUGGCGGACGGGUGAGUAACGCGUGGGAACGUGCCCUUUGGUACGGAACAACUGAGGGAAACUUCAGCUAAUACCGUAUGUGCCCUUCGGGGGAAAGAUUUAUCGCCAUUGGAGCGGCCCGCGUUGGAUUAGGUAGUUGGUGAGGUAAAGGCUCACCAAGCCUACGAUCCAUAGCUGGUCUGAGAGGAUGACCAGCCACACUGGGACUGAGACACGGCCCAGACUCCUACGGGAGGCAGCAGUAGGGAAUCUUGCGCAAUGGGCGAAAGCCUGACGCAGCCAUGCCGCGUGAAUGAUGAAGGUCUUAGGAUUGUAAAAUUCUUUCACCGGGGACGAUAAUGACGGUACCCGGAGAAGAAGCCCCGGCUAACUUCGUGCCAGCAGCCGCGGUAAUACGAAGGGGGCUAGCGUUGCUCGGAAUUACUGGGCGUAAAGGGAGCGUAGGCGGAUAGUUUAGUGAGAGGUGAAAGCCCAGGGCUCAACCUUGGAACUGCCUUUCAUACUGGCUAUCUUGAGUACGGGAGAGGUGAGUGGAACUCCGAGUGUAGAGGUGAAAUUCGUAGAUAUUCGGAAGAACACCAGUGGCGAAGGCGACUCACUGGCCCGUUACUGACGCUGAGGCUCGAA